UAGAGUUUGAUCCUGGCUCAGGACAAACGCUGGCGGCGUGCCUAAUACAUGCAAGUCGAGCGGAGUUGAUGAGGUGCUUGCACCUCUGAUACUUAGCGGCGGACGGGUGAGUAACACGUAGGUAACCUGCCUGUAAGACUGGGAUAACAUUCGGAAACGAAUGCUAAUACCAGAUACGCGAUUUCCUCGCAUGGGGAGAUCGGGAAAGACGGAGCAAUCUGUCACUUACAGAUGGACCUGCGGCGCAUUAGCUAGUUGGUGGGGUAACGGCUCACCAAGGCGACGAUGCGUAGACGACCUGAGAGGGUGAUCGGCCACACUGGGACUGAGACACGGCCCAGACUCCUACGGGAGGCAGCAGUAGGGAAUCUUCCGCAAUGGACGAAAGUCUGACGGAGCAACGCCGCGUGAGUGAUGAAGGCUUUCGGGU
rnacentral:rRNA from 1 species